rnacentral:lncRNA from 1 species
GUUCCUUAGCUAUAGUACCUGACCCACGUACUGUUUAUAAGGUUAUUUUAACUCAACCAAAGUUUGACGAUCAGAUCUCGCACCGCCUCUGCUGUUACUGAGUCAUCGACUUCCUCGGCUUCCUGAUAUCAAUUGCUACGUGUGAUCGCCUCCGGUUACAAGAGACUGCAACACCGCCUCACUCAUGUGUUGGUCAUCGUAGCCGGUCUCUCAGUAUUUAAUGUUUAUCUAUUAUCGUUCUGUUUGCUUCACGAUCCUUCCACCACCUCACAAAUCGACCUUCCUCUCUUCUUCUACUCUUUCCUCCCUCCACCGCAACCACUGCCUGAUCCUUUAUGUUUGACGCUUGCAUCUCCGAUUAGCUCUUUCUCUUGGUGUCUGUCGCUACACCAUUAGUGGUGGAGGACGUUACGACUGUUAAGGUGGUCGUAGACAAUAACAUUAGGGUUUUGGAUGUCCGUACUGGACGGUCUUGUAAUUGACGCUUUGGGUCUUCAUACUUGCAAUUGAUCAAUAUAGGUAUGUCUGCAACGACUUGUAGCCCCAAACAUCUCCAUUCGAGCGUUUAGAGGGAAACACCGACUGCAAUGUAUUCCAAGUCUAAGGAUCUCCGGCUGCACCGUCAUUCACCGCUCUUUCUGAUUUUCUCAAAUUCUUCUAUCAAAGUCGACCGCUCCAUCGUUUCUCACCGACUCUCCUCGCUCUCCUAAAUUCCAUCUGCUCCUUUUGUUGUUUGUUGUCGACGUUGCUGCACUGUAAGGUAGGCCAGUCACGGAGUCCAUAAUUUUUCCGAUUUGGGGGUGUUUAUUUCCGAUUCUUCCGAUUUCUUUCCGCCGUUCUUGUGUUCGCUUUCUAUGGCUCCAUCUUAGGUUGGUUUUCUCAAUUAUCCGACUACCUUCAGACUGUAUGUGAUUUGGAGCUACUUAUCGAUCCUCUUACUCUUCCAUGUGAGGACCAAUAUUAAAAAUUGGAUCAGUUGUUCAUCUAAUUAGGAUGGUAAUCUUGAUACACGUAUUCCUUCUAUCAAGUAGUGAUCCUUCAAUUUCAAAUUUUACUAACUAAUUAUGUACUUACAGUUGUUCUAUUGUUCAUCUAAUUAGAAAUUGCAUAUAUUUUUUUCUUUUAUCGAACGGUAAGAAAUACCCUUUAAACUUCGAUUUUUUUUUUCUGUUGUCGAUUUAUGUAUCUGAACAAUGAGGGUUUUGUUUCGAUUUUCUACUUAUAACUUUCAACUUCAAUUUUCUAUUUUUUUGUUAUGAACAUGUGACGUAUGGUGGCGAGGAUUGUUGGGUUGGUCGAAAUGGAAACCCUAAUAGAUUUCUUAUUUGGAUUGGGUUUUUACUGUUCAUAUUUGGAUUGGGUAUCAAUUUUACUUUCAGUCAUGCUUUGAUCCUGGGUUCAAGAAAAAUUUAAUCAGCCCGCCAGGUAUUUUUUUUUCCCUUUUUGUGUUUGACUUUCUCAAUUCAACACCUCAUCUUUACUCUCUCCAACCACUGCUCUAAAUUUUAGGGCUUCUGGAAGGCGAUGAGUAUGUGGCCGAGUGUGCUAGUCGUCGAAUGAUUUUAGGGUUUAUUGCACAGCCUGCACACCAACACGACGUUGUUAUCAGUACAACAUGUUGACCCAGACUUCCCCUCGAAAAUCAUGUGCUUUACCUGUUGCAUCUGAGAUCUUCUUUCUCAUACUAGCUGUUGUUGUUCGAUUUAUAUGUGGAAAAGGAAUUUUAUGUUGUCCGGUUAACAGGCGAUUUAAAUCUUCCCAUGUGGUUGACUAAAGAGGAACAGAAGUUAGUCCACAUUAGCAAAGAGUUUAAACCAAUGACCUAUAGGAUCAAGUUGAUCUUCCAAAUAUACCUUUUAUUAUGUAUAUAUUUUGAUCUUUGUGGAGAUUAUUGUUGAAAUUUGUUAUGAAUUAAGCAUACUAUCAUUGUCUUACAUUGGUAUCUUUCAAAACAUCAUUGAGCAGACUACUACCUUUUGUUGUGCAACAAAUUUUUGAGAAACUGCAAGGAUGUUCUGUUGUAUAAUUAGGAUAUGGUGUAGGUCAGUUAUAUUCAAAGAUUACUUUAUAUUGUUUUAAUUUUUCAAAUUUCUAUUUGGAAAGUUUUUGGCUUCAUGUGUGCAAGAUUCCAUUUUUCUAUAUAAAUAUAUGGUAAGUUUUAUAUUUUUUGGGUUGUAACUAUUUAUAUAAAAUCCCCUUUUCAGUUCUUGAAGAAAAACCAUAGAUCUUCAUGGAUUUUCUGAUUUAUUUUCUGGGUUGUAACUAUUUAUAUAAAAUUCCCUUUUCAGAUCUUGAAGAAAAACAUAGAUCUUCAUGACUCUUCUGACAACCCAAAUUCAUGUUCUGGUAAGAUUGCUAUAGUGAUUCGGGUGGUUCUUUGACCCAUUAUAAAUAAACAACUUUGUAUAUAGAUCGCCCCUAUGAAAACAAGUGGGACAUUUUUCCAACAGUGAUGAAAUACUAAAAAUUGUGAGUUCCUAAUUAAAUGAUUUUAUCGAAAGGGUGCUUUUAUUUUCACGUAAUCUGUUAAAUGACAUUUUGAUUUUAUCGCCUAUAUGAAAACAAGUGGGAAAUCGUUCGUAAACAUACCAUAAGUCACAUACAUGUCAAUAAUGUCUGCAAAAUUACUAAUAAUAAAAAAGAAGAACCAAAUCUGAUAUUCUCUUAUUUGGUGUUUGUGUGAUAACAAACUUUCUUCUCUUUUCAAUAUGCAGGGGAUAAAGCUUUCUCAAAUACAAAGAAGUUUUUCAUAAUUCUAUAAGUACGACAUGACAACUAUUUCUGUUUUAAAAGAAAAAAAUAGUAGUAAAAUCACAUCCUUAACCCCCAAAUUAAAAUGAGCUCUUAGGCUUAAUGAGAAUAUACAAUAAUACAAUAUACAAUGAGAUUUUCAAUCUGGUCUUCCUUUAAUUUGACUGGGUUUAAUCUUAUUAUGAUUUCGUUAAGACUCUUUAUUUUGUUACUGUUUGCAAUAGUUUUUCCACAUGUAUGUUCGUUUUACUCAUAGACAAAAGGUAUUGUUAAAGUGGAUAAUGGGAUAUAUGAAGCCAUUUUGUUGACUUUGAUUGUCAAAGAUUAUAAAUGGUUUUAAUUUAGUGUAUUAUGUUUGUAUCUUGGUGAUCUCUCUGCAGUGGAAAAAAGGAAGCUCCAUAAAUCAUAUUUAUAAAGAAGGUUCAAAUUUGUUUGUAUUUUGGAUGCAUGGGUAUUUUAGUCAAAUGUAUAAUUGGGAGACAUUCAAUUUGUAUAUUGGUAUUUUUUUUUGUAAAUUUGUCAAGUGGAUCAUAAAUGGUAUGGACCGUAAUUGGAUGUUUAUUAUUAGGAGGUGAUUAGGUGAUUUUUUGAGUAAAGGGCAUUUUGGUCAAAUCUGAAAAAU